AGGGAGUGGAAAGAGCUAUUUGGCAAAGAUGUUACGUGACCUUGAGGUUGAAAACGGUGGCACUGCCCCUCGUAUUCACUCAAUGGAUGAGUACUUCAUGACUGAAGUUGACAAGGUUGAGGAGAGUGAGGUUUUGCGAUCUUCUGGUUCUGUCAGGGGCAAAAAGAUGGUGACAAAGAAGGUUAUCGAAUACUGCUAUGAACCUGAGAUGGAGGAGGCUUAUCGUUCAAGCAUGUUGAAGGCUUUCAAAAAGACCCUGGAUGAGGGGGCUUUCUCCUUCGUAAUUGUGGAUGACCGCAAUCUGCGG
rnacentral:misc_RNA from 1 species